rnacentral:rRNA from 1 species
GUGGGGAAUAUUGGGCAAUGGGCGCAAGCCUGACCCAGCAACGCCGCGUGAGGGAAGAAGGCUUUCGGGUUGUAAACCUCUGUCCUUGGUGACGAAAAAAAUGACGGUAGCCAAGGAGGAAGCCCCGGCUAACUACGUGCCAGCAGCCGCGGUAAUACGUAGGGGGCGAGCGUUGUCCGGAAUUACUGGGCGUAAAGGGUGCGUAGGUGGCCUUUUAAGUUGGAUGUGAAAUACCCGGGCUUAACUUGGGGGGUGCAUCCAAAACUGGGAGGCUAGAGUGCAGGAGAGGAAAGCGGAAUUCCUAGUGUAGCGGUGAAAUGCGUAGAUAUUAGGAGGAACACCAGUGGCGAAGGCGGCUUUCUGGACUGUAACUGACACUGAGGCACGAAAGCGUGGGGAGCAAACAGGAUUAGAUACCCUGGUAGUCC